UACGUGGGGUGCAAGCGUUGUUCGGAAUUAUUGGGCGUAAAGGGCGGGUAGGUGGUCCCUCAAGUCUACUGUGAAAUCCCCAGGCUCAACCUGGGAACUGCAUCCGAUACUGGAUGGCUUGAAUUCGGGAGAGGGAUGCAGAAUUCCAGGUGUAGCGGUGAAAUGCGUAGAUAUCUGGAGGAAUACCAGUGGCGAAGGCGGCAUCCUGGACCGACAUUGACGCUGAGGAGCGAAAGCCAGGGGAGCAAACGGG
rnacentral:rRNA from 1 species